AAAUUGAAGAGUUUGAUCAUGGCUCAGAUUGAACGCUGGCGGCAGGCCUAACACAUGCAAGUCGAACGGUAACAGGAAGCAGCUUGCUGUUUCGCUGACGAGUGGCGGACGGGUGAGUAAUGUCUGGGAAACUGCCUGAUGGAGGGGGAUAACUACUGGAAACGGUAGCUAAUACCGCAUAACGUCGCAAGACCAAAGAGGGGGACCUUCGGGCCUCUUGCCAUCGGAUGUGCCCAGAUGGGAUUAGCUUGUUGGUGGGGUAACGGCUCACCAAGGCGACGAUCCCUAGCUGGUCUGAGAGGAUGACCAGCCACACUGGAACUGAGACACGGUCCAGACUCCUACGGGAGGCAGCAGUGGGGAAUAUUGCACAAUGGGCGCAAGCCUGAUGCAGCCAUGCCGCGUGUAUGAAGAAGGCCUUCGGGUUGUAAAGUACUUUCAGCGGGGAGGAAGGGAGUAAAGUUAAUACCUUUGCUCAUUGACGUUACCC
rnacentral:rRNA from 1 species